rnacentral:rRNA from 1 species
CACACCGCCCGUCACACCAUGGGAAUUGGAUCUACCCGAAGGUGGCGCGCCAACCUGCAAAGGAGGCAGCCAACCACGGUAGGUUCAGUGACUGGGGUG